rnacentral:rRNA from 1 species
UACGGAGGGGGCUAGCGUUGUUCGGAAUUACUGGGCGUAAAGCGCGCGUAGGCGGACCUGCAAGUCGGGGGUGAAAGCCCGAGGCUCAACCUCGGAACUGCCUUCGAUACUGCGGGUCUCGAGUCCGGGAGAGGUGAGUGGAAUUCCUAGUGUAGAGGUGAAAUUCGUAGAUAUUAGGAAGAACACCAGUGGCGAAGGCGGCUCACUGGCUCGAUACUGACGCUGAGGUGCGAAAGCGUGGGGAGCAAACAGG